CGACCGGCGCACGGGUGAGUAACGCGUAUCCAACCUGCCCACCACUUGGGGAUAACCUUGCGAAAGUAAGACUAAUACCCAAUGAUAUCUCUAGAAGACAUCUGAAAGAGAUUAAAGAUUUAUCGGUGAUGGAUGGGGAUGUGUCUGAUUAGCUUGUUGGCGGGGUAACGGCCCACCAAGGCAACGAUCAGUAGGGGUUCUGAGAGGAAGGUCCCCCACAUUGGAACUGAGACACGGUCCAA
rnacentral:rRNA from 1 species